rnacentral:lncRNA from 10 species
GUGGCGCGUUGGCCGCGGCGGCCAGGCUGCUGGGUGUCGCGGGGGCGGCGGCGGGGGCGCCGGGGAGCUCUCGGGGAGCGGGGCGCCGGAGGAGGAGCCGCUCCGAGGGGCCCACCCGCGAGCAGCGGGGAAGGCGGGGACCCGGGCCCCGCGGGCCUGCAGCGCCCCCGCACCCGGUUCCACGCGCCCAGGGCCGCCCCCGCGGAGAGAGGGGGCGCGAGGGGCGCGCCUCUCGCUCGGACACCCUCUCCCAGCUCGCGCCCCAGGUUUUCUAAUUGUUUAUGGAGAAGAUUGAUCUUCACAAGCUAGUUUUUUCAUAGGCAAAAGCAAAAGUCUCUUCCUGUGUUAUUAAGUGAAAAUGGCUGAUUAUAAAAAGGGGCUUACAAACAAUAUUUAACAAAUCUUCAUCAAGUCCCUACUCUGUGGCAGGCCCUGGGUCAGGAGGUUGCCGAUUCCAGGAAGAAUCAGACCUUAUCCCUGCCCUUGAGUCUCAAGAAGAGGAAAGGAAAACAAAUAAGCAUAGUACAGUGUGAAAAGUGGGACUGUGGUCAAAUUUCAGUCUGCAAACUCAGAAUGGAUGAAAUAUGAAAGACUGACAACAUCAAGUUGUCAAGUAGGACAGGAUGUGGAACCACUGGAACUCAUACGUGACUGAUGGGAAUGCAAAAUGAUACCGAUCCCUUGGAAAACUCCUUGGCAACUUUAAUAAACAUAAAUCUACCCUAUGAUCCAGAAAUUCCACUCUGAGUCACGUCUCCAAGAGCAAUGAAAAUAUAUACCCACAAAAGACUGCACAUAAAUCAGAACAGCAUUGUUGAUAAUAGCCCAAACUGGAAACAACCUAAAUAUUCACCAAUAGAAGCCUGAAUAAAUUCAUACUGUGGGAUACUCUACAGCAAUGAGAUCAUGAAAGAUAGUGUGGCUUCCACUUUGGUCUCUUAUAUCACCUACUGGGGGAAGCCAGCUGCCAUGUUGUGAGGACACUCAAGAAGCUCUGUGGAGAGGCUCUUUUGAAGGAGAACCAAUGCCUCCCACCAACAGCCAGCAUCAACUUGGGACAUGUGAGUGAACCAAUUGGAAGUGGAUCCUCCAGCCAAGUCAAGCCUUCAGAUGACUGAAGCCCCAGCCUCAUGAGAGAUAGCAGGCUAAAACUGCCCAGCUAAGCUGCUCCUGAAAUCCUGACCCCCCAAAUUAUAAAAGACAAUAAAUUAUUAUUGUUGUUUUAAGCCACUACAUGUUGGGGUGAUUCAUUAUGCAGCAACAGAUAAUAAAUACAUCACCCUUGUAUUCAUUACUGACGUUUAUUGGGAGCAUAGUGUGUGAUUUUUCAUUUAACCCUUCCAGUAAUGCUGUGAGAUAGGUAAGUUUAUUAUCCCCAUUUUACAGACAAAGAAACUGAGGUUCAGAAUGAGUGAAGUCUCUUCCCUGCAGAGUCCCUGACCUUAAGGAUUUUAUGGUCAGAUCUGAGAGACAGAAGCUCAAAAACCUAUGACUCUAGGCAAAAUAUGGCCCUGGGAUCCCAGGAUGGGGAGAGGAAUUUUGGAUUCUGGCUUCUACUUGGGCCUCAUAGCUUGGGAUGACAGAGGGUACACUCCAAAGGCAACAAACACCUUCCCUGCCCUUGAGCACCUGCUUAAUCAAGGGGAGAAAGUUCAGAUGCUUAUGCAUAAUGUGUGGUAUUUCUCUGCACAGAAACACACACGGGCCUGUACAGUAAUAAUGAAAAGCAACAACCCAUCUUAAGGGCUUGGCACUUUGCACUUACAAAGCCUUAUACAUCCCUAAUUCCAUGGAAUCACACCUGGCAGGUAAGCGUGGCCCUGUACACUUUACAGAUGGGGACACUGAGGUCAGGGAAGUUGUGUGAUUCUUGCAGAGCCAAGCAGCCUAGAAGUGGCAGAGUUCAGGUAAAACCCAGUAACUGGGUGUUUUACAAGUGCUAAGGGUAUGACAGGAGGUAGGCAGGGCUCCUCUGAGGGAGGUUUCAGGAAGAGGUCACCCGCGAGCAGGGUUCUGAGAAUGGGGAAGUGGCUUCGGGGAGAGGAUGGUGCCUGGGAGGGUUUGAGAGGAAACAGAGUGAGUCCCUAGGGGCUCCCAGGGUGUACGAGGGCAAAGAGGUGAACAUAGCUGGAGUGGAAAGAAUGAGAAAGCCUGGGUGUGUGGAAGAGCCUUGGUGUGUUAGGUGGAAUUGCAGCUGGAGGGUGUGUGCAGAAUGAGAGGUCUUGGUAUUGGGGCCAAAGUCAACUGCCACGCCUAAGGAGGGAGGAAGGCGCUUAUUUUGCUUCUUGGGUGAAAAUCAUUCCUGUGAUUUAGUUCUCCUUGGGGGAGGGGCGGGGUUUCAUCCAGCCUUAGCAAAUGCAUUCAAUCUUCACUACUUCUCUCUGUCAGAUGGGGUGGAUAGAGGUCCAAAUGUGGGCAGAAGCUUUUAUGUCCCAUCGCAGGGCAGCUAAGAACAGCUGCGCGGGUCGUUCACUGUACAUGGGCACUAGGCCAAAAGGGACUGAAAUCCGGACGGCCCUUUGUUUACUAAGCCAUGUGCCUGCAAGGCUGCACCUGCCCAGAAGGAAUGCUUCCUAUUUCUUUUCUUUAAAAAAAAAUUUUUUUUAUGAGCUAAAAUUCACAUAACAUAGAAUCUACCAUUUAAACCACUUUAAAGUAUAAAGUUCAGUGCUUUUAGUAUAGUCACAAUGUUGUGCAACCAUCACCACUAGCAGUUUUCGGAACAUUUCCAUCAUCCCAAAAAACAACUCCAUAACUCCUAAUUCCCCCCCUUUCCCCAUCUCUUGGCGACCAUGAAUCUGAACUUUCAUAUGAAUGGAGUUCUAUAAUUUGCUGUCUUCUGUGACUGUCUUCUUUCAUUUGGCAUUAAAACUUUUCAAGUUUUACCCAUGUUGUGGUAUGUGUCUGUACUUCAUUCCUUUUUAUGGCUCGAUAAUAUCGCAUUGUGUGAAUAUUCCACAAUUUGUGUAUCCCUUCAUGAGUUGAUGGACAUAUGGGUUAUAUCCACUGGCUGUUAAGAACAGGCGGGUCACGGUGGCUCACGCCUGAAAUCCCAGCACUUUGGGAGGCUGAGGUGGGCGGAUCACCUGAGGUCAGGAGUUCUAGAUCAGCUUUGCCAACACGGUGAAACCUUGUCUCUACCAAAUAUAUAAAAAUU